GAUUUCACAUAGUUGUUCAUGGAGUAUGAAUUUUACUGUAAAUUAUGCUGGUUUUUUUUCAGGAGAUUGAAUUGAAAAUAUUGAAAUGUAAAUCUUGUAACAAUUGACCAGUCAACUGACCAGUAGUAAUAACACGAUUAAUGUUUCCUGAGACAUCAUCUGCUAUGAACAUUUAUCAAAGAUGAGAGUUAACUGGAAAGUCAUUGAUUCCUUGGCAUUAGGAAUUUCAACAAAAAGAUAACAUCAGCCCAGUAGAGUUUUUAAAUUUCAAUAACAUAAAAAUGAUCACAAUUCUAAAUGGAUACUGGUUCUUAUGUUGACUGAACUACACUAUUCUUGAUGCUUAAAAAAUAUUCUGUAGACAUGUUAAAUAAAGUGUUAAAUGUUA